UUUCUAGGGUUUCACGACAGACAACAGACGAAGCUCUCACCUCUCUGAGGCGAGUGGGAAAGGGCGCAAGGUUGAGAAAGUCUUCGGACAUUGACAACUUGGAAACUAGAAAUUUAAACUUAGUGCAAAAUUCAUUCUGUUUGUUGUGAAUUUGAGCUGUUCUUUACUUUCCAAGUCCACCCAUGCCCGCGGAUUUUCUCAUCUCUUCUACCUUUUCCUUCUCCCUCGCCUCCAUGAUCACGUAUCUUAUAUUGUGUAUAAUUUAGUUUUGAUGUUGUCUUUUUCAUUGGGUAUAAAUUCCUUUGGUAGUGGACUCCUAGUUUCACCUAUGUUGUUACAAAGAAGAUUUGAAGAUACCGUUGAAUAUGUUAGUUACAUAAGCCUUUAUCGUUUAUACUGUCUUAUGUUAUUUGCAUGCUGUAUUACCAUGAAUGUUGUUUUCCUCUUAAUUACUUUGCUCCAUUUAUUAGGAGGGGUCGUCAAGUUUGUAACUAGUGACUUACCAUGAGGGACAUCCAUGAUUGUAAUGAAGGUUUCUAAUUUUAAUUUAAUUUUUUUCUUUCACGUUUUAUAUAAUUUAUAACUUGGAAAUAUUUGGAUUAGUUUGUUAUUUUCCAUUUUGUUUUGGGUUGGUUGUGUCACAUUCUACCAAACAUCUUCUUUUCUGUUUCUGAUGGUUCGAUUGAUUAAUCUCUAGUUUUUGCUUUGGUUAUGGUAAGUUGAUUUUCACGUUUUAGUUGUUUUUUAAAGAAAUGUUUAGUGCAAGUCACAAAUUUAAUUAAUAACCUGGAUGUAACAAUGCAUCCCCAUUUGGAUGGAAAUGAUUUAUGGAUUCGGUUGAUGUUUUGCUUUGUUGGGGGUUUCAUGAAAAGUUUUUGAGAAAACUUGUUUGUUGUUCAAGAAUUUAAAGAACAUGGGGUAAGGAUUCUGUGGUGAUGUUUGGCCAAGGGAGUGAAGUUGUUUUGCCUAGGGCCGUGAAGUUUGAGUAGUUGUGCUAGGCCUGAAGUUUAUGUCUAGGCUGUAGGAUUAUGUUACCUAGAGUUAUGUACAAUCAGGGAAAUUCCAUUAACUUCAGAACUCUCUCUCUUUCUCUCUCUCUGUCUGGCAAAGACUUGUUUUUUUUUUUUUUUUUUUGUCAAUGCUAAAAUUGAGAUGUAAAACUUAUUUUUAUUUUUUAUUUUAUGAAUGUUUCAUAUAAUUAAUGUUUAAUGACUAUUUAUCUAUUAAUUUCUCCUUUCCUGGCAUAGUAGUAUUUGAAAAAUACAUUAAUCACAAUUACUUAAAAGGACAUAACCUUAAUAAUUUAAAAGAAAGGAUGAUUAGGCCUCAUUGACCUGGUAAAAGAGAGACAAAAGGAAAGCCAUUAGAAAGAUUGAGAGAAAUUUCAGAGAAGUGACAAUGAAGAAGAAGUGAAAGCUGUGCAUAAGUUUUCGGUAAGUGGUGGUAAGAGCCUCAAAGAAGUGGGUGAACCUCCAGAGAAGAGAAUGGGACACAGCUAUUGAAUAGAGAAGAGAAGUGAUACUGCAGGGAGUGAAAGAACGGGAGAAGCCUAACGGCGCAUAGAGGGCUGUGUGGAUUGCAACAACAGAAUACUGCUGUGGUUGAAUAGGGUGAAAGUAAGUAAGGAGGGUUUAACAACCUUGCAGGGCCACAUACAGGAGUUGGCUUAAGAACACCACUCUUUUAGCUUUUCCAAGAAAUUGAAACCUCCCAUUUCUUUAACUCUCACUCUUUUUGAUCUGACUUCUUCGUUUAGUAUGUGGAACAAACUACAAUUGGUAGUCCACACAGGACCCGUGAAAUUCAUUGAAAACUAAACAAUUCAAAUCCUUUGAAAACACAAGGUAGAAUUUCUUCAGUUGGAAAACAAGAAGUUUGUGGGUAUUCAGACAAAUGUGUGUAAUUUUCCUCAGUAGUGGGCUUUCUUUUUGAGUUAUAUCAUUGUCAAUGAAAGUAAGUUCUUUUGGCAUUGGGGAAACUAGUGCUAGUGCCUGCAUUUUGUAUUUGUGAUACACCCAGCCUUUACAACCAUGAUGAUUGAAGCAAAAGAUUCCAUCCCCUUUGGAAUCUGUGUGUCAUGUCAACAAAGUCCAAUGACACAUCUAUUUUCUUGGAUUUUGAGUUAAACCCACUCCUACACCUUUAUCUGCACAGGGAAUUUUCUUUUUCCCUCUUUAUCUGGUCAUGGUUCAUCUCAUAGUGAGAUGGAGCUCAGAGAAAAUGACCUAGAAAAUAUUAUCCUUAUUCGGGUUGAACUGGUUGUUUCGUAAGAUUAGUUGAGGUGCACAAAAAACCAUUGUCUAUUUAGAUUUCGUUGCUAGGAAAUAUUCCUUUGUUAUUAUUGAUUAUCAUCACACUCGUGUCUCUUUGUUUGUAUGCCUGAGGAAAUUGUGUAGGCUUGUGAAUCUUAAAACUUUACACAAAGGUAUGCAAACUGUAGUGAAAAUAAUCACAACAGAUGAAAGGAGAACUGAAGUAGAUGUUUGUACUUCUACUGCUUCACUAAGUAAGUUUUAUGCCUGCCUUUUUAAUUAUAUGAUUACUAAUUUGCUAUGAUCAAGGGAGAAUUAUACUAGUCUGUUAUAGAAACUUCUUUCAGGAAGAGUAAAAAGAAAUGAAAAACUAUGGAGAGCCUAUGAUAAUGCUUUCCGCAUAAGUCUAACUAACAGAUAAUAUCUGAAAGUAGGAUCUACUUGUUGCCUCGAUGCUUUUCUUGGUCUGAUGCCUAUCUCUACUUUUCUAGGCUUUGAAAUUGAUUUAUUAAUUAGACAGUUAAAACUUUAAAAUUUAAUUGGUUUACUUGAUGCAAAAUUUGUCAUUUUCGUGUCUAGCAAGUUUGCGAAUUUGGCAAAAAUGUAGAAUAGUUCUACAGACUUAGUUGACAAAAUUUUAAAGUUUAUGGAACAUAAAAAACUCUUUACCCAACUCCUUAAUAAUAAUAGGAUCCAAUUUUUGACUUUGACCUAGCGCCCUUCAAUUAGGGAAUACUAUUGUGAGAGAAAGAGCUUCUAACUGCCACACAAUCUUUGUUACCCCAUGCAUACACAAGCAACGGUACUAUUUGAGUAUGGCGAGUUCUGAUGCUUGAAAAGGGGCGGUGUUUUGCAUAUGACAGCUACACUAAUGGAGUCAUCAACCACUGCCUAUUCUUCCUGAUAAAAAAACUCGAGUUUGAUUAUGGCCCUAUUUAUAUGAUUUGAGACGAUUUGAAAUAUUUUUUUGCUCAAAGUUGUAUGACCCUUUUACUUUAUGUGCUAUUUUUCUUAUAUUUUCAAGAUGUUUAUUUUUGUUUGUGUUUUAAGAUUUUUUGUAGGCAGCCUCUGGUAUUUUUUAACAUA